rnacentral:rRNA from 1 species
UACGGAGGAUUCGAGCGUUAUCCGGAUUUAUUGGGUUUAAAGGGAGCGUAGGUGGAUUGUUAAGUCAGUUGUGAAAGUUUGCGGCUCAACCGUAAAAUUGCAGUUGAAACUGGCAGUCUUGAGUACAGUAGAGGUGGGCGGAAUUCGUGGUGUAGCGGUGAAAUGCUUAGAUAUCACGAAGAACUCCGAUUGCGAAGGCAGCUCACUAGACUGUCACUGACACUGAUGCUCGAAAGUGUGGGUAUCAAACAGG